ACUUAGUGGCGAACGGGUGAGUAACACGUGAAUAAUCUGCCCUGUACGAUGGGAUAACAGCUGGAAACGGCUGCUAAUACCGUAUAUGACCACGCCGAGGCAUCUCGGAGGGUGAAAGCGCUUAAGCGGUACAGGAUGAGUUCGCGUCCAAUUAGCUAGUUGGUGAGGUAACGGCCCACCAAGGCGACGAUUGGUAGCCGACCUGAGAGGGUGAUCGGCCACACUGGAACUGAGACACGGUCCAGACUCCUACGGGAGGCAGCGAGUGGGGAAUAUUGGGCAAUGGAGGAAACUCUUACCCAGCAAAUGCUGCGUGAGUGAUGAAGGUCUUCGGAUUGUAAAGCUCUUUGAUUGGGGACGAAUAAAUGACGGUACCCAAGGAACAAGACCCCGGCUAACUAUGUGCCAGCAGCCGC
rnacentral:rRNA from 1 species